rnacentral:sRNA from 1 species
GUUUCAAUUCCUCAUAGGCAGGCUAUCGGCGAUAUUCGGAAAAAGGAAUAAUAUUCUAGAGCAUUGGG